CUGUUUUCCAUCAGAUAAUUGGCAUCUAGCAUAUGAAAUAAGCUGGUAUACAUCCCGUAUCGUCAAAAUUAGUUGCUCUUUGUAUACUUUAUUCAUGUCUAAUCACUUGUCAGUGGGUAAAAUGUCGCCAUCUCAUUUCAGUAUAUUGCAGAGGUGAAAGUGGUGGCUGUAUUUGAUGCCAUGAUGUCUGGACUACCUACACACAAGGAAAACUUUGAGGGGUAAUUCCUAUUAUACAAACAAAAGCAACCCCAUAAUUAUGUUCUGUGGAUAUAUUUCUGUAUGAUAUAAGUGAUAUCUACUACUCCCUCCGUUUCAAAAAGAUUGUCUUAGUUUGACUUGGCACAAACUUUAAUAAAGAAGGGAAGACUAUUGCGAUAUGCGGUUUUAAAUAAGCCACAACAUUUGUAUAGUAGGAAAACUUUAGGAAAACUUUUGAAACUUGUGGUCUGAAAUCUGCCAUAGCAUUUGUGUGGCUAUAAAUGCUUCCUAUUAAGGAAAUAUUGAAAGGUGCAAUAUUUUUGGAACGGACUAAUAAGAAAAUAGUGCCAAUCUUUUUGAAACAGAGGGAGUAGUAGUUGAGAAUAGGUUUUCGACCUAUAGGAAAAUUCUAAUAUUAUUGUUAUAGUUACUAUUAUUUAUAUAUAUAAUUAACUUAUUUUUCACUUUUGUUUUAUUUGGUAUGUUGAUGAUCUGAGUUGAGCUUAAAUGAAAAUAUGAGAAUUCAUAUAUGAGACACGGCCUAGACUGACACAAUUGUUGUUGUUGGAUAUAUUUCUGUCUGAUGGACAUGCACUCAGAAUUUUCUAUUAUUUUUCUGCUUGUUCUGUCAUUGUUGUAGUCUCAACUUAUGAAGUCAGAUUCUUCUCUUCCUUUCAAAAGGUAACAUGUGGAUAUGCUGUUGCAUACUAAUGCUGUAUGCUAUUGAUUGUAAAUAGUAAAUCAGUGACACAUGCUCGUGAAAUAUUCUUGGGCCCUGAUGUGAUAUCAUGUCUGUUUUCAUAAUUACUUGCUUCAUUGUUGCUUAAUAAAAAAAAACGAUUUUAAGUCUUGAAUUGAAUAUACUUUCAAGAAUUUUCUUAGUAUGGUUAUUUCAGUCUAUUUUUCUCCACUUUUGAGAUGUUCAGGUGAUCUAAAGAAGAAAUCUGAUUUUAUAAUCAUAUUUUUCUUGUUGGUUGUUAUUUGAUUCAGAAACCAAACUUGUUAUGGUCAAUCUUUAAUGACACUUUAUUUAUGUGUCUAUUUUUCGGUUUCUUAGUUUUAUCUAUCUUCUUGUCCUAUUGAAUGCAGUCUAGUAGUAGAGUUCCAUGACCAGCUACUUCUUUUUGCAGUGUUGAUGUAGUAUACUCAAGUGAAACAUGUGCUGAUGCAUGGAUUGAGAAGGAGGUGAGAAUGUGAUGAAGCUCAAUAAUAGAGAAGAUUUAUCUUUUUUUAUUGUCAAGUUGGUGAGUAAAUGACUUAAACUAUGUGUGUUAGUACAAGAAGUAUGUUAUCUUGAUACUCCUUUUUUAUGGUUAAUUUCAUUGAUGGUCAUUGAACUAUCUUUCAAUUUCAAUAAAGUCAUUUAACUAUUUUUUGUCACUUAAAAGUAACUAAACUUUAUCAUUGUCACUUAAAAGUCAUUUUGCCUCAAACCACUACCAUAAAUAUGACAUGGCAUUAAAUUUUAUGAUAAAAAUUCAAAAAUAAAUGCCACAUAAGCUAAUAUGGGUCAUACCCAUUUUAGAUCCAUUUGNNNNNNNNNNNNNNNNNNNNNNNNNCACAUUCAUAAUUAUUCUAUACUAAAAUAAUCUAUGCUAGAAAAUUCUUAUUUUGUUUGUAUGCCCCAUCCGAGUCAUUCAUAAUUAUUCUAUACUAAAAUUAGGCUCCGCUUUCGUCCCGAAGGUCUGAAAUUAAACUGUAAUUAGACUAUUAGUAUGAAGUUAGGCUUUAGCAACUCAAACUUCAUAUCAGUAAUUAAAACUUUAGACUGUCGGGUAUAAAGUUUGAUUCUGAUCCAACUAAACUUUAAACACUUUUUAAACUUCGGCUAUUCAUUAAAUAUUAUUAUUUUAGGUUGCACCUAGACACAAAGGGAGGGGAGGGGAGGGGGUGAAUUGUGUCGUACUCAAUUUUUGCAUGCCAAAGAACCCGAUUCUUUGGCUAAACUAUUUUGACACAAAAUUGAAAGUGAAGUGUGAAAAUAUAAACAACACAACAAUUUUUACAUGGAAAACUCCUUGCUCAAGGGAGUAAAAAAUCACAACCUAUCCCAGUAGGAUUUGUUGCAAAACUUCACUAACUUCAAAGAGCAAUUUUAGGUUACAACUCAAUAACCAAGGGGACUAAUUCUAGUACCCCACCCCUACAAUUAACCCAUUGUAGUUAAGCUUUAUGUUACAACUCUAUAACAAAUGAGACUAACUCUAGUACCAUUCCCUUACAAUCAACUCAAUUGUAGCUACCAUUUUCUAAACUAACUCUAGCUUAGAAACCGAAACAAAACACUUCAGAAUUUGAUCACCUACGUUUACACUUCUCAAAAGCAAAAUAGGUUACAAUUUAAGAACAAUUGACUCAACUUAAACAACUAAAGAAUUUCAGCAGUUUCGUCUUCUGGACCUGGUUCUUCAGUUGAGCAACUUGAAUCCUUGAAAGCACCUUCUUGCUAUGAAUGUUUUUUUUUUUGAAUGAUUCUCUGUAUUUUCAUGGAAUAGCAUUAGCUUCAAUAGAAGCAAGGUGAUGCUUUAUAUAGGCAUGAGGUCGGACGAAAUCCUUCUCCAAUUUAUGCUCCAAAACUUGAAAGAAAUCGGUUAAGGAAAAGAAUCCUUUUAGGGUUUGUUUUCCUUAUUUUUUCUAAUUUCUCUCCUUUAAUGCAAGUACUUCCAUAAUUAUUGAAUCCUUUUCCAACACGAAUUCCUUCAGCUAAUAUUUUCCUUGUAUCCUACGAAUUUAAUUCUUUAAGGAAUCCGACUUGCAUUGGGUUAAUGACCCGCCCAAAAGUUACUUGGGCUAAGAUGGGCUAGGUCAAGAUGGGCUAAAACCCGUCCAACUCUUAUCAAACUUUAGUUAAUAUGUGUUAUUCUCUUAUGGAUUGUAUAAUUACUAAAUAAGACUUUUUUCUUUUGUUAUGGUCAUAUGUAACAUUAUCAAACAAAAAAAAAUUAUUUCUAAGAUAUUUUGAAAAAGUUAUUCAUGGAUCAAUUUGGGCUAAAAAUCAGCUCAACUUUAAAUGGGUUGAGAUGGGUUGGGUCAAGAUGGGCUAAGUUCAAUAAAUGGGCGGGUCAAUAACCAGCCCAACCUUGGGCGGGUUGGGUGAGUCAUUUGGGCUUGGGCCAAAUUUGACACCCCUAGUUUGGACCAUGAGAGGUUGAAGGGGGAAUAGUGUUUGGCAUGGUUGGACUUGAAAGUUACCUCUCCAUUUUUAUUGUGAUCUGAAAACCACCAUUAGAUGCAAAACUGGGGCCUUAAAAUGGAUAUUAGAAACUGGUUUGCUUGAUGCACCUACCUUUAUCUGUAAUAUUUUGCUGAUAAUGCACUGAUAGAUUUGGUGUCCUUAACAUUUAAAGGUGGUUGCAUUGAGGGAGGAUGGGUGUCCAAAGGUCUGGGUUGUCACAUCUGAUCACAAUCAGCAGCAUGCAGCCUAUGGAGCAGUAGGUGCUUCUACCUUGUGAUAUGUGAUCUAAUAGGAAAAGAACAAUUUGUUCCACUAUUAACUCAAAUAACUUUUUCAUUUCUCAGCUAUUCUUUUUAGGCAUAAGACUAGACUUCAAGUUGCACAUUUUGUAUCUAUUUGUUCAAAGGACAUUGUCUGGAUUUAAAUAGUUCUUUGUUAGUGUUACUUAUCAAAUAAACAAAAAAAGGUGCAUGAUUACUAACAUCACCUCUUGAAUUAGAAGGCAGAAACAAACUUCUUUUGCUGGUAUUUUGAGUUAUCUGCAUGCUGGUUUUAGAUGUCAGGAUCUUUCAGAAUUUGCUUCAUUCAAGUGAAGUUCUUAUGCUUGUGAUUUCCUGAUUCAUAUGCUAGUUGAAAUGCACCAAUAACUUUUCCCUCUGCUCCCAAUCUGAUUAUAUAUUUAUGAUAGCACUGAAGUAUUUCAAAAUUUUCUGGUACUCUAAUCUUCUAUGGAAGUAAAAGGAUUAGCUAUCUGUUUCAAAAAAAAAAAUGUAAAAUGUAUAGCUAUUUCCGCCACAGUUAGCAACCUCCUUUCAUCACCAUCCAUUCUCUAGCCUAUACAUCCUUUGGGUAGAGACUGAUUUUCUUGUUCAAACUUUGACGGUUUUACCAGGGGGCUUUUGUUUGGAGCUGCAAGGCGUUAAUCUCUGAGGUAAUGUGCAAAUAUCAGCGUCUUCAUGGUGCUCGGCUUAAAUCCUUUUCAUCUGUCAAUUUGCUUUGUUACUUUAUGUCUCGAAACAAAAGAAAGGGAGUUUCAAAAAUUUUCUCUCUUGUUUCUUCUGCAUAAUGAAGAGCAAAGAUAAUAAAGGUUUGUUUUGUUUUCCUUGGGUUUUUAUUUCGUUGAGUGAGAAGAGAAGUUUGAAUGCAUUCUAAUCCGUACUCCUUACCCGAAGUAAAGAAAAAUAAGUUUCUUCAAUUUUUCUUCAUUUCUCGCUUUACUACUUACCCGAAGUAAAGGAUAUUAAGUUUCUUCUAUUAUUUUCAUUUCACUUUUUACUUCCCUCCCUUAGUAUAACCUUAUGUUAAGAUCUGCGCUGCAAGAUGUUUGGUUAGCUUGUAAGAACUACGAUUGAGGAGAUCGCAGUGGUCCUUUAUCCUUAUUAUUUCUUUGAACUGAAAAACAAUUGAGUCUAACUCUUAGCUCCACUUGCUGCUUGGGUCCCAGGGUUAAUCUUGUAGCACGUUGUAUGAUUUUCUACAGGAUUCCAAAUUCUGUUUAUCUACUUGUGGGGAGGUUUCGUCUUGUCAAAUUCAAAAACAUGACCAGCGUCGGUGCACCCUGUAUAGUUAAGUAAGCUUGAUCUAUGGCUCCAUGCUAUAGUAAUUUGAUCAUUUAACAACAUAAAGGAGAAGCUUGUGGGUUGGCAAUGCUUGGAUUGGUCAUUUUCUUCUGAAACUAAUUAUUACUAAUCUGGCUAACUCAUGACUGGAUUGGAAAAUUUUCUGAAAUUUCGGAAACCUUCAGUCUUGUGAAACCAGGAGAGGUAUUGCUCCAGAACACAAUCACUGGUGUGGGACAUGUCUCAAACUAAACAUCCUAGUUCGCAAUAUGCACCCUGCUUCUAACCUGGUCCAUUCAACUAUUAUUGUUCCUUACCAAGUAAUACUCUACAUAACAAAACUUACUAUGUGCAGGCCUAUUGUUCCUUAUCUGUGUAGUUCCCAGUAAAACAAAAUGUAUUUCUAGUCUUCGGCGAUGGAUAAAGAAAAUUAAAGAAAUGAAGUUUUCCAAAAAAUUAAACAGAAUUAAAAAUGCAAAGCAAGUUGAAGACUUUGCUUGUUUCCUUCUCCAUCUCCUUUCCUUCGGGAAAUUUGUUGCCCCUCAACUUAUAACGGCCUUGUUAUCAAAGGAGCUUCUUGAGUUCAAAAUAAAAAACUGACGACUUAGAUGAUAGUAAAAUAGCUUCAUUUAUUUUAUAAGGGAUAGUAAAAUAGUAUUAAGAGCUUACGUGUCACUUUCCUGUUAAAUUUAAUGGCCCAUAGGGUUCAACAUAAAAUAGGCAUGUUCAUGUUCAGAGGCUUCCUUUUUCUUUUCCAAAAUAUCUCUUGUUGUUUAUAAUUCUUUACUAUUUGUAAUUCUCUUUCUUUUCUUUCUAUUUUUUUCCUUUCUUGAUCCUCUUUGUAUCUUCUUUCCUUCUCCAUUUUCUUUCUAACGGAAAAAUACAAGAGUUUCUCCUCAACUUAAUCGUCUAAACUUAAGGAAACGGGUUUGUUUAGUCCGAAAAGGAAGUUCACGGGCUUAGAUCAGAGUAGUAAUAGUAUAAGAGCUUAUGUGAUACUGUUCUGUAAAGUUUUCUUUUGCCCCUUAUGUAUUUUGUAGAAGAACUUACUGAUAAAAUUGUUUUUUGUACAAUACCUGUACAACUCUGUAGAAUAGUCUUCUUUUGAGUCUAACUUACAUUUGGACUAGAGACCAAAGGACGUGGUCUGCAUUGUUGGCUUUGGCACCUUUUCCUACUUUGUCUUAGUUCAAAUUGUCUAACAAAUGUAUUAUCUCAUGGAUAUGAAGAAUAGGUGCUUGAAUGUUCUGAUGAAGUGUUUGUGUUAGAAAUAACAACUACUGCUAUGUAUAAUCUGCUCCCUUCUGAUGUUAUUUCUCUGAUUCUUUGAGAUAUUGUAGAUCAAAGCUUCACAUAAGGAGGUUGAAAGAAUGCUGCGGGAACAUAGGUAAGUAGCGUAGCUUGAAUUUCUUUCAUUUCUUCUCGAAUCUGGAGAUUCCCCACCUCCUUAGGUGGGAAAAAGAUUCAUCUGAAAGCUUGACGUCACUCACAUUUUCCAUAUUCUUCUUGACCUUUCAAUGAAAUACAUUUAACACAGUGGACGCUAGUUUGCAAUUAUAUGUUCUUGUACUUACCUUACACUUGUUUUUUGUAAAGCAUAUAAGGUGCCAAGCUAUUUUAAAGCUCAGGGGUUAGCCUGGUGGCAAUUGACUUGAGCCUUGGGGUUUGCUCCCUUUCAAGGUCUCAAGUUCGAAACUCACUGGGUGUAAACAAUUUCUGAGGGCCAUCGGAUUGGGUAAAACCUGAAUUAACCGUGGUGCACUUGCGGGAAACUCCUUGCCGAGGGCCUGUGCACUCCCGGGAUUAGUCGGGGCUCAAAGAGACUUGGACACCCGGUGCAAAUAAAAAAAGAAGAAGUUGUUUUAAAGUCAUUUCUUGUGAUUAAGACUUUAUGCUCAUUCUAGAUUUCUAGUUGAGGUUUGGAGGGACCCUUGUCCUCAGCUAAGCCAGUGAGAAUGUAAAGUCUAGCAUGUUAAUGAAGUCUAAUGAACUUUCUAGUCAGGUCUUGUCUCUUUUGAUAUGACAAAGAAAAUGCUACGUUAUGCCUGACAAAUAGGUUUACCCCAGAACUAAAAGACUUUUAACAGUAGGUACCUCACAAAACUGCCUUUAAGCUAAACUAAGAGGCAAUUGUUUCGUUGUGAAUUAUUUUCUUGGUGUUUAGGACACAUAAUCAGAAUUUUUUUAUGAAAAAAGUUUGUCAAUUCACAUUUUUAUGAUUGCAUUUGCACAAUAAAAUUCGAAAUGGGGUAGUGAUGUUGCUUAGUUUUUGUUAUCCCUUUCCGUUUCACCCCUCCCCUUGAAAAAGUUAUCAUUUAAAUAAUAUAGCGGACAUUUCAAUCUCAUCACCCAUAUAUAACCGUCGAAUUCGUACAUUUUCCCUUUCCAGCUGUUAAACUAAUUGGUGAAACUAGUAACGGGAAGUCAUAGUAUGACUAACCAAUGGCAGUUUUGAUUUCGCACUUAGGGGUACAAGUAUCCCAUGAUUAAUUAUCCCGGUAUUAAUCUCGGGAUUAGUUAUCCCAUCCUCCCAUGAGGAUAAAAAAACACUACAAUCCCGGGAUAACUAAUCCCGUAAUUAGUUAUAUCACGAUUUUAUCCCAACCAAACGUGGGAUAAACUAUCUCAAAUUUAAUCCCGAAAUUAAUUAUCCUUUAUCCCUCGAUCCCUUGUAAUUUCAUUCACAUCUAACGCAUUGCUAAUAGUUUCAUGAUCUAUUGAUUUUCUUUACAGAUCUACUUCUAUGCAAGGUAAAUUGCUAAAGCACAACCUUGAUUCAGAAGUUGUGGAUGCUCUCAAGGACCUCAGGGACCAGCUUUCUCAAAAUGAGACGCGCAGGUGAUAGUAGUUUCCCGUGAGGUAAUAUCCGAGGCGAAGCCAGAAUUUUAAGCCAGUGGAUGCAAAAUCUAUCAUUACACACUACUUUGUGACAGUAGUUUGAUAUCAGUAUAAAUUUGUGCAUUUCAAAAAAUUAUUAAUGCACAAGGAGAUGCAAACAUUUACUUCUUGCUUUCCUUUUUUCUAAUUCAACAGUAGUCUCAGAAUUAUUGUGUGUCCAUUUCUACAUUGUACAGCAUCCUCUAAUUUCAGGGAGUGGUAUAUAAGUUGGAUCAAUUUAUUCUUAUAUUUUUAGUAUUGCAAACAUAAUGUCCAAUCACUUCUGAGACCUAUUUGCUGCAACUCUUCCUCCUUUUCCUUCUUCUACGAAAUCAGAGAACAAAAAAUAAGCACAUAGAAGUGCAGAUCUAUCUUUUCGAAAAUAAAUCGUAUUUUUUUGGGGGGAAUAGAAAAAGAUCUCCAGAAUCCCAAUUGAAUAAAAAUUGUCAUUUUAUUCUGAGUAACACCUAGGUAGUGUACUGCAGUACAAGAAGGAUAAUAGGAGGCAAAAGAAAAAGGUAAGAUUUUGAAAAUACGAAUUACGUGAUGAUUGACACAAAAAACUAGAUGAUUUCAGCAGGAGUAUUCUUUAACCCUUUCAUUCUUUUUUGAAAUAACAGGAACAUGCAUAUAACAACUAAAUAUUCCUGGAGGCUGGACGUAUGACUUUUGAGUUGCUAGUACUAGGUGUGGAUUUGUAUUCUUAGGGUUGAGGGGUCUUCUUCGGCCUAUCAUCAUGUGAAUAUAGUAUGGGCUAGCCAGUUUUCAGAUUGGUAAUUGCAAAGUAGCAAAUUCAUUGAAAAAUAGUUAUUAUUUUAUGCGGAGAUAAAAUCUGGACAAUAACUCUAUCUGAAAUACGGAAAGUUCCAGCAUAGUAUGUUGGAUUAUGGAUCGUAUAAACUUCUAACAUAUUAUGUUGGAACUCCAGCACAUAAUAAAAUUUCAGCAUAUUAUGCUGGAAUCUCAUAUGUAAAUAAUCCGAACUCUAGCAUAUUAUGCUGAAAUAUUUUUCGGAUUUUAAGGGCAUUUUUGUUUAGAUUUUAUUUUUACAUGAAAUGGCUAAUUUUUAAUUACUUUUAAAAUUGUGGCUAAUUUUCAAUUAAUAAUUGUAAAUGGCUAUUUCUGAUUCCCCCCCCCCCUCCCCCCCUCCAAUCAUUAUUGUCUCUACCCUUGGCCCUUUUUUUUGUUGAAAACAACGGACUGGGAAGUGGUAGCUUGCAGAAGUGCCAACUUCAGACAAAUAUGUCGGAAAUGUUUGAAUUACAGGAAUAAAUGUUUGAAGUUCAAGCAUAAAUGUCUAAUGUUUGGCUCUAGCAAGUCAAAAUCUGAAGUUCAGACAAAAAUAUAUAUCUGAAGUUUGCUUGCACAAGCAAUAUGACUUCAGAAAAAAUUUAUAACUUACGGCGAUAUAUUUUGUAAUAUGUCUAAAGUUAAUUCUCAAGUGGCAAAAUUUACAAGAAAUUAUAAACUUUGGUUAUGUCUUAAAUUGAGGUCCCAAAAUUGACUAUCUAUGCACUUGUCCCAGAAUAAUGAACCUUUGGGGUAUUUAAUUAGACCAACAAUUUUUAGUAAAAAGUUCGCAAAAUUUUGGUGUUUGUCUUUUUUUCCUUUUUAUUUGAUAAGACUACAUAUAAAAGUUUUUUCCGGGUAAACAUAAAUAAAGUUUUCACCAAAAAAUAAAAUAAAAUCACGCAGAAAAAAUUUCUAAACAACAAUAACUAUCUUAAAAAUAUCUUUGUUUUAAAAACUCCUCAAGGAAAAGUAUUUCAGUUAAAAAACUUCAACACAGCUUCUUCAACUGAGCCAAUGGGCCAUACAUGGAAGUAGGGGUGACAAAAUGGUUAACAUUUGUCAUUAUCCACCAGGCCCAAGUAGCUACUUUGAGACCCCCCUAUUUAAAACAAAUCUAGUUUAUAAAACUAUUUAAAAAUUUAGCUAGUUUCAGCAAAAUAUCAGAUCGUUCUGCUACUAUUUCUUCUUCUUCUUCUUCAUUAUCUUUAGACGUUCGGGUCUAAAGCUUUGAAUUGUCAGAUUCUAACUUUAUAGGCGGUGGUCAAAAGUUUGAACUGUCGAAACAAAAGCUUCAGACCUUCGAGUUUGAAGUUAGGCUCCGCUUUCGCCCGAAGGUCUGAAAUUAAACUGUAAUUAGACUAUUAGUAUGAAGUUAGGCUUUAGCAACUCAAACUUCAUAUCAGUAAUUAAAACUUCAGACUGUCGGGUAUGGAGUUUGAUUCUGAUCCAACUAAACUUUAAACACUUUUUAAACUUCGGCUAUUCAUUAAAUAUUGUUAUUUUAGGAUGCACCUAGACACAAGGGUAUGGGAGGGAGGGGGUGAAUUGUGUCGUACUCAAUUUUUGCAUGCCAAAGAACCCGAUUCUUUAGCUAAACUAUUUUGACACAAAAUUGAAAGUGAAGUGUGAAAAUAUAAACAACACAAUAAUUUUUACAUGGAAAACUCCUUGCUCAAGGGAGUAAAAAAUCACGACCUAUCCCAGUAGGAUUUGUUGCAAAACUUCACUAACUUCAAAGAGCAAUUUUAGGUUACAACUCAAUAACCAAGGGGACUAAUUCUAGUACCCUACCCCUACAAUUAACCCAUUGUAGUUAAGCUUUAUGUUACAACUCUAUAACAAAUGAGACUAACUCUAGUACCAUUCCCUUACAAUCAACUCAAUUGUAGCUACCAUUUUCUAAACUAACUCUAGCUUAGAAACCGAAACAAAACACUUCAGAAUUUGAUCACCUACAUUUACACUUCUCAAAAGCAAAAUAGGUUACAAUUUAAGAACAAUUGACUCAACCUAAACAACUAAAGAAUUUCACCAGUUUCGUCUUCUGGACCUGGUUCUUCAGUUGAGCAACUUGAAUCCUUGAAAGCACCUUCUUGCUAUAAAUGUUUUUUACUUUGAAUGAUUCUCUGUAUUUUCAUUGAAUAGCAUUAGCUUCAAUAGAAGCAAGGUGAUGCUUUAUAUAGGCAUGAGGUCGGACGAAAUCCUUCUCCAAUUUAUGCUCCAAAACUUGAAAGAAAUCGGUUAAGGAAAAGAAUCCUUUUAGGGUUUGUUUUCCUUAUUUUUUCUAAUUUCUCUCCUUUAAUGCAAGUACUUCCAUAAUUAUUGAAUCCUUUUCCAACACGAAUUCCUUCAGCUAAUAUUUUUCUUGUAUCCCACGAAUUUAAUUCUUUAAGGAAUCCGACUUGCAUUAGGAUUUGACUUUCCUUAAAAUACUCCUUCACAUGCAAGUAUUCCCAUAAUUAAUGAAUCCUUGUUGACCAUGAAUUCCUCUAAUUAUUACCAUACGUUCAGCCCAUGAAAUAAUUUAUAUUAGGAAUCCAAGUUGCAACAAAAUUCCAGCUCAACUAACUUGCACUAGGAAUAAGCUUUCAGCUUCUGAUCAUCAUUUUCAAGGGACCUGGUUCUGUCGAUAUUUGCAUGAUACAUCUGCAACUCUGUAUAUCAGCACAACAAAUAUCUUCACGAGAUCCAGUUCGUUGUCAGCUAUUGGUUAAUCAUUGAAACCACUUUUAAGCACAUACUCUUCAAACAUCUGCUUCAAGGGCCCUAAUUCUUUCAUUGACAAAGUAACAUAUGUGUACAUUAGUCUAGUAGCAUAGUAACUGUCACACCUCCUUUUUUCCGAAAGAAAUUUUUUUAUUUUAAGUGACAUUAUUGAAAAUGAAUUAUUUUAUCUAAUUUUAAGAGUCGCCACUUGGAAUUAUUUAUUACGGUGUUCCAAGUCACCAUUUAUUAAAAAUUUCAUUUCAAGAAAAGUUUGACUCUGUUUUAUUCUGCGAAAUACAGAAUAUCGGGUAAGGAAUUUUGCUAACCCGGAAGAAGGUGUGAGUCACUUCCGAAUUCCGUAAUCUUAGCAUGGUCGCUUUCAAUUACACUUAGCCAAAUUAUCUAAUUAUUACAUGUUUUAGAUCCUAUGUACAUUUUAACUUUUAACGCUUUGAUUUUAUCUUUAAACCAUUUUGAGUAUUUGCGAAAUUAUUUUAAAACUUGUUGUUUUAUAUAUAUCGCAAACUGCGCCACGUGAAAUGCACCCUCAGUUUACAACAUGCUUAUUUUUAUUAUUACUUUGAAGUUGUAAGGUCAAGUCACGCGGACGUGCCCUUGAAUUUGGAGUUACGUAUCACAAUCAUGCCACGAGAGCCGUACCCAUAACUGCAAAGAUUUAUUUAAUAAGCGUCUAAAGCAACUACGAGGGUUCAUAAGUUUAUUUAUUUCAACACGUUUGAGAUUGCUUGUGGAGUCCAAGAAUUAUAGAAUUUCAUUCGUGAAUUCGCGAACUUUGAAACACUAAGGGCCUGCUUCAUAACAAAUACGAGAAAAGUUGAGAAAAUAGAUUUGGUAGAUUAACAACUUAUCUGUAUUAAUAAAUGAAUCCUCAUUAGUUAAUUAGUAGUGGCUUGUAAUUAAACUAUAUCUCUUAUUUUCAAUUAUUUAAUUCUACAUGGAUUAUUAUUGGGAAGGUAACUUUAUGGGCUAAAUUUGUUGAGUACCCAGAUUGGACAUCCAAUAAGUCACUUGUGAAUACAAAUGGGCUUCGGAUUAAAGCCCAAGGCAUCCUUUGAGCCUUCUAAGAACCAGGCCACGUUGUAGGCCUCUAAAUAGGUUUGGUGCUGAAAUUAGCUAGGAGUUCAAAGUCCUCAUGACUCCAGUCUAAUUCUGCCACUUUGCUGGGCCAGUUACUCAGGCCCAAUGGCCUUUGGGAACGAAAGCCCAGUGAUUUACAACUCAAAAUUUCAUACACCAUUGCAAAAAAUGAAAGAACUACGAACUAAUCUAAGCAUGAGUACAUGUUCAUCCGGAUUUAAAAUUACAACACCAAAUUCACUACAUCAGAAAUCUUGACUUGAAUUUAUAAUAACAAACGCUUUUAUGAACUAGCAUCCUACAUUUCUGGGAUUAAACAAUGUCAUAACAAAUAAGGUUUCCGAUAAUUAAUUCAUAUCUCCUGAUGCCUUUGACUCGUACAAGUUUAAACUCUUCAUUCAACCUUCAAACUCAUGUGCUUAAAAACUUCAGUGGCUAGCAAACUCAAGCCCGAUCUCUCACAAAUUUAUUAAGUGUUCACAAUCACCAAUAACAUGAUGAUGUUAAUUCUCAAAUUGCUAACACGUAUCAUACUAAGCUAAACACAAAUCAAUCUGUUACAAUUAGAGGCAGAUUUUUGUUUUUACUCAAACACAGAAAUAUUGUCACAAAAACAUACUAGAUUUGACUUUGUGACAUCUUAUCUAAAAACAUUAAUCGCGCGAAGAGCAAUAAUGGAUCUGGACACACAUAGAUCUAUGAAGAACCAACAUGAUUUCAAUUUGAGGAAUUACAAACUACUUAAGUGUCAGCAACACGAGUCAAGGAAUGCAUUUUAAUUUCAUAACCAAAACAUGCCAUAUCAUCAUUAAACUCAAUACAUUUAGAGAUCUAUAAGAAGCACUAAGUUAAAACCUGAACAACGAGAGAGAUUUAGGACCAAAUAAAGUUUAGAAAAUUCGAAGAGGGAGCUCAGCUACGAAACCAUAGAAUCAACAGCGAAUCAACAACAAUUAAUAGAGUUUUUGAGAUGGAAUUACUCCUUUGGAACCCAACAAGUAAGGAAUAAUCGGUCACAGGUGGAAACACUCUUCAAAUCCUUUUGAAAUCCUAAGCUUUCUACUGUUUUUGGAGUCUUUGAUCUCAGAUCUCUUUUUUGAAUUUUUUUGACUUUAGAAAUUUUUGGUUUUCCGCUGUUUUUGAAUACUGCUGAAUUUUCAGAGUGAAAUGGGUCUGUGUGCGAAUUUUUUAGACUCUGAAUACAUGCCCAAAGUAUGAGGAGGAAUGCCUUAUUUAUAGAUUAUUGGUUAGGGCUCUUUUCAAAUUUCCCUUUUUGUUUUACCCCUCUUAUUUUCAGUUUUUACUCCAACAGUCCCUAAUAAUAACAAACCCUUCUACAUCUUCUUUGCAAAUUAAUCAUUUUCAACACCUUCCUCGAAGUUUCCUAAAAGAUUCUCUAAGGGUGGAAUUCCUUAAUUAUCCCGUGUCUUUCCAGUAUUUACCAAUUUUUAGAAAUUAACUUUCUUUUAACUCAAUUACUACUCUUGUUUUACCACAUAUUUCACUAAAUUUCUGGCAGUGAGCCUUAGACUAAAAGAAUAAUAGGCAAUGUCGACCUGGGCUCAAAGCCCACUGGUCUUUUGUAUUUUUGACAAGUCUGUUAAUGACCUAGCCUAAUUUCAUUUAAAUUUGAACCAAACUAACUAAGAGAGUAUUUAAACACUAACAAAAUAUAUGGAAAAUUUACAACAAAAAUAAAAAAUAAGCCAACUCAUAAACUAAUUAGCUAACACAAAAUCGAACUAACAGAAGAAUACUCUUAACUUCUAAUGCUAUUUGAUCAAUAAUUAAAAUAUGCGAUUAUUCACCUAUAAAUAAAAAAAAUGACAACACAUAAAAAAACCAUAGAAGAAGAGGAGGGAAGAGUAUACCUAUUGGAUCAAACCGAGCUGUCAAGAGAAAAUUCCGAUGAGCCAGAGGAUUGCUACACAAGCACCAACCAAAAUUUGUCACGCCGGCCAGUGCUAUAUGUAGCAAUAGCUCUUGCAUGCUGGAGGUGAUGAACGAAGAAGCUUUGAGAGGACUGGCCGGUCAACCAGAAUUUGAUCGGGCCCCGAUGGCCACGAAAUGAGACGAAACCACCACCAAUCGACAAUACUCAUCAAGAGAUGUCGAUUAGUGUGAAUUUUAACCUCAGACGUGUAAGAAUAGAAGAGGAAUCAAGAAAGACUUAAAUUCCCAGGUCUACUAAUCGUGGAGUUUGGGUGGAUUUUUACGGAAAUGGUUGAGAAAUUAGGGACGAGGAGGAGUGAGGAGUAUCUGGUGAAAAUAUUUAGCCAAUUGGUGGUGGUCCGCCGCCGUGGCGAUUUUCGGCGGCGAUCAGACGGUGGUCCUCCACGGCGUGAAGGCGGAAGGAGGACAGUGGGCGGUGAAAGCAAUUUUUGGCCGCCCAAGAGAGAUGAGAGAGAAUGGGGAUUAGGGGUGGUGUAUAAAUAUUGAAUUUUUAUCAAUCAUUUUUAUUAUAAAGGGAAAAUCAGUGAAAUGACAUAGCUAUGUUGCGAGACUACUUUGUUUAGAUGGUCUGAUGCUAAGAUUGUUUGGACCGGGUAUUGAAUUGUACUGCACGGGUAUUCUUAGUAAAACUGGGCCCAAAAUCGUGGCCCAGUCUCAUUUUGAGCUUAGUAGCCUUAUCCUCCCUUCUUCUUCAUUUUACAAUUAGCCACUAAUCAACUGACAUACCAUUUGCAAAAUUAUCCUACUAACUGAUUCUAUCUAAUGACUUACUAUAAAAAUUAUAAAUUAUCCUACUAAUUAUGUGAGUAAGUAGGUCCAAAAAUGCAGAGUUAUUAGCUAAUAUAUUUUUAUGAUUUUGUGUUUAAUAAAAACUGCAAUUAGCAGGCAUUUGAGUGCCAGCAAUGCAAUUAGAAUCUGAAAAUACGAUGAAUGAAAUAAAAAGGUAUUUUUGGUGAUUUUCUAUGAUUUAACAUGCUCUUAGUAAUACAAAUAAUGCAUACAAACUAACAAAGAAAAAAUCUUUAAAGUUUCAAGAAAAAUCAAAAUAAUUGAUAAUACUAUUUUUAGACCUUUUAGGAGCAAUUUCAGGUGAGGCAAAAAUUACGUGCUCACAGUAACCUGUACAUGCAACCUAGUUCUUCCAUAUAAUCAAUCUGGUUUGUUAAUGGUGUACCCUGUGUUGAAAAACACAAUUAGGGAUUGGUGUACCCUAUACUGAAAAAGAGAUUAGGGAGUGAUGUACCCUAUACUGAAAAAGAGACUAGGGAGUAAUGUACCCUAUAUUAGCAAUGAGAUCAGGGAAUGUUGUACCCUACAUUUAAGAUCAUUAACUAGGGAAUGAUGUACCCUAUACUGGUAAAGAGACUAGGGAGUGGUGUACGCUAUAUUAGCAAUGAGAUCACGAAAUGGUGUACCCUACAUUACAUAUAUAUACUAAACUAUACUAUAUAUACUAAACUAUACUAUAUAUAUAUAUAUAUAUAUAUAUAUAUAUAUAUACUAUACACUUAGUAUAUAUUUACUUUUUAGUAGUAACAUGAAAGGACCAAAGUAUGGUACUUCUUAGCUGGUAUAAAUAUGGAAGGAUAAAAGAUCAAGUUUUAGCUCAACUCAGUAUAUAUUAUAGUAUAGUAUAUAUAUAAGCUAUAUUUGNNNNNNNNNNNNNNNNNNNNNNNNNCUAUUUUAUAAAUAGCCAAUGGCUAUAUUUUAUUUUAUUUUAAAUUUUGUUUUUUUUUUAAAAAAUAAAAAUAAAUUAGCCGUUGGGACCGUUUGGCCCGCUAAGGGACCGGGCCGGUCCCAGACCCUGGCGGGCUAACGGUCCCGGGCCUGACGAGCUCAGAUCAUAGGACCGACCCACGAGACUGGCCCAGAACCGCUAAAAUCGGGCCAAACAGUCCUGGCCCGUUUAGCCCGUUUGGCCCGUUUGGCCCGCGGUCCCGGGCCUGGACCGGCCCACUUGCCACCCUUACCCACUGGUCUUCUGUAUUUUUGACAAGUCUGUUAAUGACCUAGCCUAAUUUCUUUUAAAUUUGAACCAAACUAACUAGGACAGUAUUUAAACACUAACAAAAUAUAUGGGAAAUUUACAACAAAAAUAAAAAAUAAGUUAACUCAUAAACUAAUUAGCUAACACAAAAUCGAACUAACAGAAGAAUACUCUUAACUUCUAAUGCUAUUUGAUCAAUAAUUAAAACAUGCGAUUAUUCACCUAUGAAUUACAAACACUGACAACACAUAAAAAAAGAAAAAACGUAGAAGAAAAGGAGGGAAGAGUAUACCUAUUGGAUUAAACCGAGCUGUCAAGAGGAAAUUCCGAUGAGCCGGAGGAUUGCUACACAAGCACCAACCAAAAUUUGUCAUGCCGGCCAGUGCUAUAUGUAGCAAUAGCUCCUGCAUGCUGGAGGUGAUGAACGAAGAAGCUUUGAGAGGACUGGCAGGUCUACCAGAAUUUGAUCGGGCCCCGAUGGCCACGAAAUGAGACGAAACCACCACCAAUCGACAAUACUCAUCAAGAGAUGUCGAUUAGUGUGAAUUUUAACCUUAGACAAGUAAGAAUUGAAGAGGAAUCAAGAAAGGGGCAAUUUCAGUUUUUCUUAAAUUCUCAGGUCUACUAAUCGUGGAGUUUGGGUGGAUUUUUGCGAAAAUGGUUGAGAAAUUAGGGACGAGGAGGAGUGAGGAGUAUCUGGUGAAAAUUUUAGCCAAUUGGCAGUGGUCCGCCGCCGUGACAAUUUUCGGCGGCGGUUAGACGGUGGUCCACCGUGGCGUGAAGGCGGAAGGAGGACAGUGGGCGGCGAAAGCAAUUUUCGGCCGCCCAAGAGAGAUGAGAGAGGAUGGGGAUUAGGGGUGGUGUAUAAAUAUUGAAUUUUUAUCAAUCAUUUUUAUUAUAAAGGGGAAAACAGU
rnacentral:lncRNA from 1 species